ACACUCCUACGGGAGGCAGCAGUGGGGAAUAUUGGACAAUGGGCGCAAGCCUGAUCCAGCCAUGCCGCGUGAGUGAUGAAGGCCCUAGGGUUGUAAAGCUCUUUCACCGGUGAAGAUAAUGACGGUAACCGGAGAAGAAGCCCCGGCUAACUUCGUGCCAGCAGCCGCGGUAAUACGAAGGGGGCUAGCGUUGUUCGGAUUUACUGGGCGUAAAGCGCACGUAGGCGGACUAUUAAGUCAGGGGUGAAAUCCCGGGGCUCAACCCCGGAACUACCUUUGAUACUGGUAGUCUUGAGUUCGAGAGAGGUGAGUGGAAUUCCGAGUGUAGAGGUGAAAUUCGUAGAUAUUCGGAGGAACACCAGUGGCGAAGGCGGCUCACUGGCUCGAUACUGACGCUGAGGUGCGAAAGCGUGGGGAGCAAACAGGAUUAGAAACCCGUGUAGUCCCA
rnacentral:rRNA from 1 species